rnacentral:lncRNA from 1 species
CACAAACCUACAGUUACGUAGUAUCAAUCAAACAAGUCCACAGACGUAAAUGAAUGUUUUGAAAAGCACACGAGAAAUCGAAAAACGGGCGAGCUACGCGCAACCUUGCACACUCCGCGACGACGAGGCGAAAAGGGAAAAGACGAACAGGUCUGAACAGGAUCUCUUGGGCACGCAGCUUGUGUGACGUAGCGCGCCGGGCGCCGGAGGAGAGAGGGGUGAGAAUACCUUGUCAGGCGAGUUUCGGUACAAUGGGGCGCGUUUAUCCCCACAGCACCCGCUCCGCAGCAAGUCAUUUGAGGUGUUAUUCUGAGCCCCCCCUCCCCUCCCCGUGAAAGAAAA